CCCUUAGAUGUCCUGGGCCGCACGCGCGCUACACUGAGUGUCUGAGAUACGAGUCUGCCUGGUCCGGCAAGGUCUAGGUAAUCGCUAAAAGACACAUCAUGCUUGGGAUAGAUUAUUGCAAAUAUUAAUCUUGAACGAGGAAUUCCUAGUAAGCGCAAGUCAACAGCUUGCGUUGAAUACGUCCCUGCCCUUUGUACACACCGCCCGUCGCUACUACUGAUUGGAUGUUUAAGCGAGGUUCUCGAACUGCUAGCGACUUAGCUUCGGUGAGGUCGCAGUGUGGGAAGUGAACCUAGCUUUGGUGUCUAGAGGAAGUAAAAGUCGUAACA
rnacentral:rRNA from 1 species